AUAAUCAAACGUUUAGAAUAUCAGUGGUGUUUCUUUCUCUGAUGUGUCAUUCUUGGAACUAUGUCAUAACACAGUUGAAGUAUAUUGAAAAAUGAACCAACACAACACUUUUGACCAUUGCAACAAGAUUUGACCUAGUGUUUUACUUUUCUUGGCAUGCGCCCAUCCCCCUGCCCCGACAACGGCCACCAGGGCCGGGAGGAAGUUUGGGCCCGAACUCUGAGCAGGAGCGAAGUCUCGAAAGGACGACGGGGAGAGAAUGGCGAGUGAGUGGGGGACGCUGCGUGAACCACGAGCAUCGCUGAGGGAUUCGAGUGACGGCUAGAGCAGGACGUCGACCAUCACAGAGUGGAUGAUGACGAUGAUGAGAGGCGCGAAGGUGGGAUGCAUGUCCUGAACUCUGCCGCUCAUCUUGAUGUGAUGAAUGGUUUAAUAAUCAAAUGUUUGGACAAUCAGUGGUGUUUCUUUCUCUGAUGUGUCAUUCUUGGAACUAUGUUAUAACACAGUUGAAGUAUAUUGAAAAAUUAACUAACAAACCACUUUUGAGCCAUUGCAACAAGAUUUGACCUAGUUUUUUACUUUCCAUGGCAUGCGCCCAUCUCCCUGCCGCGACAACGGCCACGAGGGCCGGGAGGAAGUUGGGGCCUGAACUCUGAGCGGGAGCGAAGUCUCGCAAGGACGACGGGGAGAGAAUGGCGAGUGAGUGGGGGACGGUGCGCGAAUCACGAGCAUUGCUGAGGGAUUCGAGUGACGGCUAGAGCAGGAUGUCAGCCACCAGAGAGGGGGAUGAUGACGAUGAUGAGAGCCACGAGAGGCACGAAGGAUUUGACCUAGUUUUUUACUGUCUAUGGCAUGCGCCCGUCCCCCCGCCCCGACAACGGCCACGAGGGCCGGGACGAAGUUGGGGCCCGAACUCUGAGCAGGAGCGAAGUCUUGCAAGGACGACGGGGAGAGAAUCACGAGUGAGUGGGGGAUUGUGCACGAAUCACGAGCAUCGCUCAGUGAUUCGCGUGACGGCUGGAGGAGAAUUUCAGCCACCAAAGAGGGGAUGAUGACGAUGAUGACAGCCACGAGAGGCACGAAGCCCCGACAACGGCUACGAGGGCCGGGAGGAAGUUGGGGCCCGAACUCUGAGCGGGAGCGAAGUCUUGCAAGGACGACGGGCAGAGAAUCGUGAGUGAGUGGGGGAUGGUGCGCGAAUCACAAGCAUCGCUGAGGGAUUCGAGUGACGGCUAGAGCAGGACGUCAGCCACCAGAGUGGGGUUGAUGACGAUAAUGAGAGCCAGAGAGGCACGAAGGUAGGAUGCAUGUUCUGAAAUCUGCCGCUCAUCUUGUUGAUUGAUGAAUGGUUUAAUAAUCAAACGUUUGGAAAAUCAGUGGUGUUUCUUUCUCUGAUGUGUCAUUCUUGGAACUAUGUUAUAACACAGUUGAAGUAUAUUGAAAAAUGAACUAACAAAGCACUUUUGACUAUUGCAACAAGAUUUGACCUAGUUUUUUACUGUCUAUGGCAUGCGCCCGUACCCCCGCCCCGACGAGGGCCGGGAGGAUGUUGGGGCCCGAACUCUGAGUGGGAGCGAAGUCUCGCAAGGAUGACGGGGAGAGAAGAGUGGGGUACGGUGCGCGAAUCACGAGCAUCGCUGAGGGAUUCGAGUGGCGACUAGAGCAGGAAGUCAGCCACCAGAGCACGGAUGACGACAAUGAUGAGAGCCACGAGAGGCACGAAGGUGGGAUGCUAGUCCUGAACUCCGCCGUUCUUGCUCCGCCUCCUGGUCCACAGAGAGGCCUCUUCACUAUGCCUUCCGUUUAAUUCAGGGCGAGCUACGGAGCAGGAAUGGUGAGAAGGAGGCAGAACAAUAGGAUAUCUUUCUUUCUCAGCUCAGGAGCUCCUAAAAGACUAGAGAGGGAACAGAGAGCCGAGAAGGACGAGCAGCAGCGAGAGACUAAAUCCAGAAGAGCCGGACAGUGAUAAAAGAGUGAUAAAACACUGAUAGUCUUGUUUGAACCCACUGAAAAGUGACCAGCUUAGAUUGAUUUUGGUUUUGAGUUAUUUUGUUUGGUGUGUGAAGAUGAACUCUGAACUCUGCCUGCAGCCUCCUUCUUGAGCCCGGGGGAGAGCAAGUCGUGCUACACUGUGAUAAUCCUGUUAUAUAUUAUUGUAAUCACUUCACUGUGUAGUAACAAGUCAGGUGGAUUUACUGGAUUUACAUGACAGUGAAAAUCAGAAAACUCUUUUUUUUUCAUUUCAACAUUAUGAUGUACUUAAUACCUGGAGACCCAGUGUAACAAAAUAAGGGUGGGUAUAAAAUUAGACUAAUGGCCAAAAUGUAAUGGUUGUUGAUUUAUUUUAAGGACUACUUAAAGGUUCCUAAUUAUUAGGGGGGAUUAAUAAUGACCUAAAAAGCAGAAACAUAUUAUUUGUCAGUAAGUUUAGAAAUGUGAUAUAAAUGCUCUGAUACGAUGCAUCAAUAAGAGAUUUUCUUAACUAGUUAUUAACUACUUGUUAAAUAAGUUAAUUAUUUAAAUUAAAUGUUAG